rnacentral:tRNA from 1 species
ACCAGGAUGGCCGAGUGGUUAAAGCAUUUGACUUAAGUUCCAAUGGAUGUAUAUACUCCUGGGUUAGAACUUCACUCCUUGUGUAAGUUCUAAAGUCUCCUAUACAUGAGUUCCGAAGGAUGUAUAUCCACGUGGGUUCGAAUCCCACUCCUGGUA